UUUCCACACAAGACUCCAAUGCACGGGGGCAUGGAAGAAAGCAUGUAGUCUGCCCGGCCCUUUGGCAGAUGAUCCCUGACAGGACCUGUUUCCAGAUACCCUUCAUGCUCUUGGACACAGCCCUGAGUGACUUGCUGGAGGACACGAGUGCACACUGCUUUCUAAUGAAGAUUAUACUCUGCUCUCUUUUGGGUAGGAAGUAAAGGGCUUAGGCCACAGAUAUUAUGGGGAAUUAUCUCAGACUGAUUCCCUAGUGAAAGAAGAAAAUCAUGUAACGGCACAGGCUGCUCCUCCUCUCAUCCUCUUACACCAGCAGGGCCCCACAAGAGGAGUCUGGAUCAUGGUAUCAAACUUUCACUCAACAAGUACUUGUCCCUUGGCUGCCAUGUCCAGGAAUUGUGCGGGUCACCUACAGUGUGAUGGUGAUCACAACAGGUGGGAGCACCUCUGCUGCAGCCCUGAAAGGGCCUCUCGGGAUGUGGAUCUUUGCUACCCAGCAUGUUCACUGGGUCAGCCUUUGAUGACCUGCCUAAGUCCAGUCUGAAGACACCAAGCACAUGGAUUUGCUGAUGUGGGCCCUGCCUGCUCUGUCCUAGCCUGUCUUUAGCAGCUGGCCGCUCACUGUCUCUGCCUGACGGUGCCUUUGCUCUGGGGUGCUUCAGUUUCCAUACUGCUCUCAAGCUCCAAGCUGUCACAAGGUCUGAGGUCUGGUCUGAGAGAAAGGCCCAGGUUGUUCCUAUCCAGAUACUGCAGAUUCGAGAUGUUCCUUGACUUAUGAUGCUCUUAUGUACCAAAACAUCCAUCAGAAGCUGAAAAUAUUGUACACUGAAAAUGCUUUGGACACCCUAGCCCCAAACCUUUUAGAGUUUUCAAUGAUACCAACAGCACUUGGUGGCAUGUAUGCUAUGUGUUCACUACCACUGCCCUGACCCAUAGCACCACAGCCUCGCCACACAGGACAGCCUGGCAUUCAUUGUCCUGAGACAAGGGAAUGACCUGGAGCUGCAGCUCGUGGCUCUGUCCAGCCUCAGCAGAGAGUUCUGAAUCGUAUACUGUGGGCCCAGAAAAGAUCAAACUUCAAAACUGGAAGUUUCCACUGAAUGUGUAUUUCUUCUACAAUAUCAGAAAGCCGAAAAACCUUAACCUGAACCAUCAUCAGUUAGGGAUGCCUGCAUAUUCGAGCAACUAGCAGAGCCUGCACGACCAACACUCUUGGCAACUAUUCUCCAAUGGGAGAAUAAUGGACACAGUCCUGGGGAACCAAUGAGGCCAUGGAUCUGAGAGCCAGCUCUGCUGGGUGUGUGUGUCUGAUCUCCGCAGGAGUCACAUCACAGUGGCUGUGUCCUGACUCACUCCAGCAAAUGAGUGCCCUUCAAGCUGGCUGCUGAGCCACCCACCUACCCCUUUCCUAAGUGUGACCUGGAUACUCAUUUAUUUCCAACCAUUGCCUUUUAUCUUCUUUUCUGUAGAGGUAUUUCUGUCUCUUAAAGUCCAGCACCUGCCAGGGGAGACUGCUGGGCUUGGGCAAAAAAGCUGUGUUCUCCCAAAUAACUCCCUGGGCCAAAGGACUCUGGUGUGACUUACUUUGCAAUGGCAUUCUCAUCUAAGGCCCACUGAGCCCCCUUUCCUUUCAAGACUCCCAACCAUCCAUAGGGAGCAUUCGUUCUAACCCAGUGAAAGGAAAGGCCAUUGUCAGUGGAAGGUGGGGGGAUCUAGGAUAUAGAGUUCUCGGUAGCUUCAGAGGGACAUCACACUUCAUUCUCAAGAAAGAGCCUCUUGUUGAGGAACCAGAUCAACCAGGUGGGAUAAUGCCUGUCCUCCCGACUCCUGCACACCACUACUUCCCAGCAAAUGACUGCAGAACAGUCUCUCAGUGCUCACUGGUUUGGACUAUUGCACCACAUGCCCGCUCUGAGAAAGACUCUGCUUGGCAAGAUAGGCAAGUACCCAAGAAGUGCCCAGCAGGUGCAGGCAACCUUUGGAACUUCCAGAUAACUCUGCCCAGGAUUGUAUUUUCUUAACAACCUUGGCAUUCUUUUGAUUACAUGAACCUCUUGGUUCAAGAAAGCGUCAAA